AGAAUCAACGCUGGCGGCGUGCCUAACACAUGCAAGUCGAACGAGAAAGUGGAGCAAUCCAUGAGUAAAGUGGCGCACGGGUGAGUAACACGUGACUAACCUACCCUUGAGUGGGGGAUAACCUAGGGAAACCUGGGCUAAUACCGCAUAAUACCUUCGGGUCAAAGGAGCAAUUCGCUUAAGGAGGGGGUCGCGGCCGAUUAGUUAGUUGGCGGGGUAAUGGCCCACCAAGACUGUGAUCGGUAUCCGGCCUGAGAGGGCGCACGGACACACUGGAACUGAAACACGGUCCAGACUCCUACGGGAGGCAGCAGUGGGGAAUUUUGCGCAAUGGGGGAAACCCUGACGCAGCAACGCCGCGUGGAGGAUGAAGUCCCUUGGGACGUAAACUCCUUUCGAUCGGGACGAUUAUGACGGUACCGGAAGAAGAAGCCCCGGACUAACUUCGUGCCAGCAGCCGC
rnacentral:rRNA from 1 species